CCCACUCGGCCUUCACGGGCUGUUAAGCACAGGUGGAGGGGAGGGGCGGGGAGAGCUGGGGCAUCCUGAACUCCCCUAACGAGUCACCGAGGGCACUUUUCUCCGAAGUCUAGAUGGAUGCCAGUAGCCCCCUGUCCAGACGGGGAGGUGAUAACAGCUCGCUUUGUGCGGGGAGUGGAAAACAAAGGCUCGCUAGGAUUCCCGGGAGGCUGUGCGGCCCUGGGGCUCCUGGGACCAGCUGGCACCUGGACGGCGGCUGUGAAAAAACACUGGAGGCAGAGCUCAGCUGAGCUGCAACCUCGUGAGCUCAAGCGGGGGUCACCCCUGGCUGAGGUUACGGCUAAGGGAAUGGGGUCAUCCUCCCAGGGAGAACCUGAGCGGCGGCACGGGGACGCGGACAAAAGCCGCUUUGUGGAGACUGAGCGUCCCUCGACGGCGCCGCCGUGUGGCAGCGCCGGGCAGCGACAGCGGCGGCCGCGGCAGAUCCAAGGGCGGUCCCGCGCCCACCCAGACCGACCUUCCCUGACCAUUUGGGACGGGUGAGACCGGGAACCUCAAGGAGGUGCUGAUUUUCUGUUAAGUUUGUACUGCAUUUCAGGAGCUACGCCCAUAACCAAUGCAUCCUCAGGAAGAUGAAAAGUCUGUCACUUUCCCACGUCCAUCUGCUCCCAGAGGCCACUUCAGCCUGGCUCUGAAAUUUCACUGCGCACAACCCACGUCGACUUUUAAGGCUCCAAAGGACCUCAUGCAGAAAACAGUGGAGCCUUGUAGCCAUCUCAUAAUGGAAUAAACAUGAAUGUUGCCAGGAGUCUCUCGGGAAGUCAGUCUGACGGUGAAGCAUUGCUGUGGACUUGGUACGUCUGUGGGAGGAAGCCGAGUCAGGAUCUUCCUAUGUCGCCAUCUUGAACCAUCAAAAGGCAAACAAUGGAGUGAGGUUGCUAUCAUGUGUCAAGACAUCCGAGAGUUUACUGGAAAGCUCAGAAAUAAAAUAAGAAAGGCUAGAAACUCCGUUGUACUCAUUCAGCUCACAUUCUCUUCGUCUUAUUGAUCCCAAGGAAAGAGAAGAAAAUCAUCCAUGACAAGUAGUGGCUGUCAGAAAGGCCGUUUCAUGCUCAGGGAAAAGUGAAAUCUCCCGCCAUCGGAGCAGCUUCAAGUACACUUUUCUUCUGGAGGAAAAUUGGAAAGACUGAAACUUGCUCACCCAUCAGCGUUACCUCCGCCCUUCCCUGUCUCUGUGGUAUUUUACAGCCCUGCAAGUUAUAGAAAAGGGCUAGUAUUACAAGUAAUUCUUGUCCGCAAAAAACAAAUAAGAGUUUGGUGGAACGUGAGGUCACCCUAUGGGACCUGUUUGCGAAUUCCCUCCAGCACUUCUCUGAAUGUGGGCGGCUGUGGGUUUCCUUCGGGCUGGUUCCUAGCAUCCUGUUGCUCUCCUCGGUAAUUAAUCAGCUAAAUAGGACAUUUCACCAUGUUUAUUUUCUAUUUGUAUGAGAGU